GAGACAGCAGCAGCCGCGGUAAAACGGAGGGAGCUAGCGUUAUUCGGAAUUACUGGGCGUAAAGCGCACGUAGGCGGCUUUGUAAGUUAGAGGUGAAAGCCUGGAGCUCAACUCCAGAAUUGCCUUUAAGACUGCAUCGCUUGAAUCCAGGAGAGGUGAGUGGAAUUCCGAGUGUAGAGGUGAAAUUCGUAGAUAUUCGGAAGAACACCAGUGGCGAAGGCGGCUCACUGGACUGGUAUUGACGCUGAGGUGCGAAAGCGUGGGGAGCAAACAGGAUUAGAUACCCCGGUAGUCCCUGUCUCUUAUAA
rnacentral:rRNA from 1 species